rnacentral:lncRNA from 1 species
UCUCUAUAGGGUCAAUGGGGUCUCUAUGGGACUUUGGGGUCUUUAUGGGAUCAAUGGGGUCUCUAUGGGACUUUGGGGUCUCUAUGGGGACAUUGGGGUCUCUAUGGGGACAAUGGGGUCCCUGUGGGGACUUCGGGGUCUCUAUGGGGACUUUGGGAUCUCUAUGGGGACAGUGGGGUCUCUAUGGGACAUUCGGGUCUCUAUGGGGACACUGGGGUCCCUGUGGGUCGUUGGGGUCUCUAUGUAGCAUUGGGAUCUCUAUAGGGUCAACGGGGUCUCUAUGGGACUUUGGGGUCUCUAUGGGGACAUUGGGGUCUCUAUGGGUCAUUGGGGUUUCUAUGGGAUCAAUGGGGUUUCUAUGGGGACUUUGGGAUCUCUAUGGGGACAGUGGGGUCCCUGUGGGGACUUUGGGGUCUCUAUGGGGACACUUUGGGGUCUCUAUGGGGACAUUGGGGUCCCUGUGGGGAC